rnacentral:rRNA from 1 species
UACGAAGGGGGCUAGCGUUGUUCGGAAUUACUGGGCGUAAAGGGCGCGUAGGCGGUGCCUCAAGUCAGGCGUGAAAGCCCCGGGCUCAACCUGGGAACCGCGCUUGAGACUGGAGUACUAGAGUUCGGGAGAGGAUGGUGGAAUUCCCAGUGUAGAGGUGAAAUUCGUAGAUAUUGGGAAGAACACCGAUGGCGAAGGCAGCCAUCUGGACCGACACUGACGGCUGAGGCGCGAAAGCGUGGGGAGCAAACAGG